GAUGAACGCUGGCGGCGUGCCUAACACAUGCAAGUCGAGCGAUUCUCUUCGGAGAAGAGCGGCGGACGGGUGAGUAACGCGUGGGUAACCUGCCCUGUACACACGGAUAACAUACCGAAAGGUAUGCUAAUACGAGAUAAUAUGCUUUUGUCGCAUGGUAGAAGUAUCAAAGCUCCGGCGGUACAGGAUGGACCCGCGUCUGAUUAGCUAGUUGGUAAGGUUACGACUUACCAAGGCGACGAUCAGUAGCCGACCUGAGAGGGUGAACGGCCACAUUGGAACUGCGCCACGGUCCAAACUACUAAGGGAGGCAGCAGUGGGGAAUAUGGCAUAAUGGGCGACAGCCUGCUGCAGCAACGCCGCGUGAGCGAUGAAGGCCUUCGGGUCGUAAAGCUCUGUCCUCAAGGAAGAUAAUGACGGUGCUUGAGGAGGAAGCCCCGGCUAACUACGUGCCAGCCGCCGCCGUAA
rnacentral:rRNA from 1 species